rnacentral:rRNA from 1 species
AACGAACGCUGGCGGCAGGCUUAACACAUGCAAGUCGAACGCUCCCUUCGGGGAGAGUGGCAGACGGGUGAGUAACGCGUGGGAAUCUACCCAUCUCUGCGGAAUAACACAUGGAAACGUGUGCUAAUACCGCAUACGCCCUUCGGGGGAAAGAUUUAUCGGAGAUGGAUGAGCCCGCGUUGGAUUAGCUAGUUGGUAGGGUAAUGGCCUACCAAGGCGACGAUCCAUAGCUGGUCUGAGAGGAUGAUCAGCCACACUGGGACUGAGACACGGCCCAG